rnacentral:rRNA from 1 species
UACGAAGGGGGCUAGCGUUGCUCGGAAUCACUGGGCGUAAAGGGUGCGUAGGCGGGUCUUUAAGUCAGGGGUGAAAUCCUGGAGCUCAACUCCAGAACUGCCUUUGAUACUGAGGAUCUUGAGUUCGGGAGAGGUGAGUGGAACUGCGAGUGUAGAGGUGAAAUUCGUAGAUAUUCGCAAGAACACCGGUGGCGAAGGCGGCUCACUGGCCCGGUACUGACGCUGAGGUGCGAAAGCGUGGGGAGCAAACAGGG